CCGCCGCUGCCGCCAGGUCCCGCUCGGUUCGGCGCGGCGCCGUCACGUGUGAGGCUCGCAGCGCGUCCCUUUCGCGCACUUUCUGCGCUCGGCGGCCUCGGCGGCGACUCCGGCCCCUCCCUGGCGCGGGGAUGGGGAAGUUAAGGCAGCGAGCGCCGGUGGGGGUGCGUCCCUUCCCUGGCGGGCACACCUCCUUGUUCUCCCUGCAGGAAUGAAGAGUUGCAUGGGGCUCGCUCGUUUUCUCUGGAGUUAGUUGCGUCCUAUACAGGGUCGUGUCGAGGUCGUCCUAAACCGUGGCCACUUUCCUGAGUGCACAGCCCGCAGUAGCGCCACAAGACCACCUCCCCCCGGCCCCGGCCUCAUCCCCACCUCCAGGGAAGAGUCCAGAGCCACAGAAUUAGCUCCUAGAACGCAACCAACAAGAGUCCAGAUGAACCCGCUCUAUUGGGAAACUCACAGUUUUUCAUCUACUCUGGGCACCACAACGUAUUUGCAGGGGCCACAGCAAAAACUACCCUUGAUCAAGCUACGUGCCCCAGCCUGAAGCACAGCAAAUAAACAUCCUGCACAGAGGCAGUAAAAACAAGGGUACAUCUGACAAAGAAUGCACCACACCUGGACAAUUAUUACACAGCUAUACAGGGUGUGCUUGCACGCACGCAUGAAUACCUGUGCGUGGCACAGGGCCCCAGCGGCGGCUUGCUUAUGAUCCCUCCAAGGUGACCAAGCACUGAGCCACCCUGCCUCAGCAGUAAAAUAGACAUAUUUACCAGUCCCUUCAACCCACAGCCAGGAGCUAGGCAAACACCCACAGAGGAGGGAGGACACACUUUAACCCUACAUUCAGCUUGACGAGCCAAACUCUCUGAACCACAGGAGAUAAAACUUCUGCCAUGGAACUGCUAAGGUAGAUAAUCAGCAACCCCCCAAGACUGUGCCUGCUGCACAACUACAGAACGCAGUGGAAGACACGCUGAAUUCUGAGUCAGAAGGUUGACUUUCUAGCUGUGGGGACUUGGCCAAACCUCCUCAGAGCUUCAGUUUUCUCAUCUGUAAAAUAGAGAUCUUAAUCCCUACCAAUCUCACAGGACUGCUGAGAGUAUCAGAUGAGAUUCUCAAAGCAAUCCUGUAUGGUGAGAAUUAUUUUUAUUUUACCGACAAAGCUGCUGAAGAUCAGAGACAUUGAGUUACUCAUAGAAGAUAUACAGACAGAGCCAAGAUUCAAAUCCCUUGGGUGUCUGGCUCCAAAGUGGAAAUUUUCUCCACGGUGCCAAAGGACUCAUAAACAGAAUGUACAAAGGACUCUUACAAAUCAGUAAUAAAAGGACAAUCAAUGUUUUUAAACAAGCAGAAGACUUCGAUAAACACCACAUAAAAGAGAAUGCAUGCAUGGCCAAUGAGAACAUAAAAAAGAUGCUCAGCGUUGUUGGUCGUCAGGGAAGUGCAGAUUGAAAAUGCAAUGGGAUACCACUACACACCCGCCAGAAUGGUUAAAAUUUAAAAAUUUUAACAGUACCAAAUGUUAGAGAGGCUGUGAAGCAGCAGGAUGUUUUAUGCAUGGCCAGCAAAAGUAUAAAAUGGUAGAGCCAUUUGGAAAACUGGCAUUUUCUCAUAAAUAUUCACCUAUCAUGUGAUCUAAAAAUUCCAAAAGAAAUGAAACUAUAUGUCUACAAAAAAAGUUGGAUAAGAAUAUUCAUUGUAGCUUUAUUUCUUUUGUUGUUGUUGUUGAAACAGAGUCUCGCUCUGCCGCCCAGGCUGGAGUGCAGUGGAGCCGUCUCAGCUCACUGCAACCUCUGCCUCCCGGGUUCAAGCAAUUCUUGUGCCUCAGCCUCCCAGGUAGCUGGGACUACAGGCACGUGCCACCACACCUGGCUAAUUUUUGUAUUUUUAGUAGAGAUGGGGUUUCGCCAUAUUGGCCAGGCUGCUCUCGAACUCCUGACCUUGUGAUCCGCCUGCCUCGGCCUCCCAAAGUGCUGGGAUUACAGGCAUGAGCCACCGCACCUGGCCAUGGCUUUAUUUCUAAAAGCCAAACUUUGGAAACAAUGCCAAUGUCUAUCAAUAGACUAAAGAGAUAAAUUGAGAUUUUUCAUACUGUGAGAUAUUGCCCCACAAUAAAAAGGAGCAAACUAUUAAUGCAUACAACAACGUAGAUGAAUCUCAACAAUAUUAUGUUAAAUGAGAAGCACCAGACACAAAAGAGUACACACAAUGAACGACUCCACUUAUGUGAAGUCUAGCAACAGGAAAAACUCAUCUAUGGAAAUAGAAAUCAGAAUAGUCAUUGCCUGUGAGAAUGUAGAGGGAGGGUGGGCCACAGGAAAGGAGCAUGGGAAAAUUUUUUGGGUGAUGGCAAUUUUCACAUUUUGAUUAAACAAUUAAGUUUAAUCAAAUUAUACACUUAAGGUCUGUGCAUUUUACCAUAUGUAAUUAUGCUUUGAAUAAAAAUAAAUUAAAAUAAAGGGAUGAAAUGAGUUGCUUCUUCCAGUAUUAUGCUUUGGCACUGGAAGUAUUUAAGCUAGACUAAUGCUUAUCAGAGAUAUUGUGGACGGUUCAAAUUGGGAGUUCUGAUUAAGUAAUAAAAAACAAGCCCUCAGAUUUUAAGACUUCGGUGUGAUACUUGAUAUGUAAUGCUGAACUAAUCAUGUAUUUCGGAAUAGGCAAAACCUGCGUUCAUCUUCUAUUUUGGAGAACUCCACGUAGAUAUGGAAACUUAUGUUACCGAAAACUUUCUUGAAUCUGUUUAUUUUUCUUUUCUGAAAUUCUUCCCCUAUUUACCAUUACCUCUAACUACUUGCCUCCUGAAACGCAAACCUUUAGCCACUCUAUGUUCCUGUAUCUUAGAACAUGUGGUGUUUGCACAUUUCCUUUGUUAAACAUCCUCCCUACUCCCACUUCCCAUCAACUUCUGCCCUUCCUUGAAACUACACAGAAGUCAACUGCACCAGUAAGACUCCCCUAUAAGCCCUGUGGCCCACAGUUUUAGUCUAUUUUUGAGUCUAGAUUACCUGUAGUAUAGCAAUUAUCCCAGGCUAAAUGAUGCCAAGGUCCCUUCCCGCUCAAAGAGUCUGGCUCUUUGAACAGGGGAAUCUGGGCUUGAAGAAUGAAGAGAAACAACCAAGC
rnacentral:lncRNA from 10 species